AUGAUUCAAGUUCAAGUUCCAAGAAGGACAUUCACGCCAGUCACUAAGCCCAUCGAAUUUUCCUUCAACGCACCAACCUGGAGUUUAGGAAAGAGUAUGGCAGCUCACAUCACCAUGGGACGCAUUGGAGAAGUAUAUCACAAGGAUCUUAAGGACACUAUCUACCAGAUAUGUGGGCGCCGAGAUGAGCAAUGGGAGAUGAUCAGCACCAGGAAGGAUAGAUCAAUUGCAACUUUCAUCCAGGAGUUAAACCAGCACAUUCGAUGCCAGGAGAAUCAGAUGUGCGCAUACAUGAUGGACUUGAAGAAUGCGAAGACAAGGAUCAUCGAGCUGGAAGAAGAACUUAAGCUACACGCGAUGGAUAUGAGGAGGAAAUUGCAACACUAUUGGAGAAGAAUGACGACCUAA
rnacentral:rRNA from 1 species